rnacentral:rRNA from 1 species
CCUACGGGAGGCAGCAGUGAGGAAUAUUGGUCAAUGGGCGGGAGCCUGAACCAGCCAAGUCGCGUGAGGGAAGACGGUCCUACGGAUUGUAAACCUCUUUUGCCGGGGAGCAACGGGGUCCUUGCGAGGGCCCAAUGAGAGUACCCGGAGAAAAAGCAUCGGCUAACUCCGUUCCAGCAGCCGCGGUAAUACGGAGGAUGCGAGCGUUAUCCGGAUUUAUUGGGUUUAAAGGGUGCGUAGGCGGGCUGUUAAGUCAGCGGUCAAAUGUCGGGGCUCAACCCCGGCCUGCCGUUGAAACUGGCGGCCUUGAGUGGGCGAGAGGUAUGCGGAAUGCGUGGUGUAGCGGUGAAAUGCAUAGAUAUCACGCAGAACUCCGAUUGCGAAGGCAGCAUACCGGCGCCCUACUGACGCUGAGGCACGAAAGCGUGGGUAUCGAACAGGAUUAGAUACCCUAGUAGUC